rnacentral:lncRNA from 1 species
CAGAGUGAUUUCGAUCAAAGUGAAGAAGCUGAGCUGCACAUUUGGGGCAAUCUUUCAAGAGUUUAGGUACCAUGUAAUAAAUAAAACAAGCUUUGCAGCCAGCUACCACAAGAACUUCAUUCUCUUCUUCGUGAUUCUCUAUCGAUGACUCUGAUGAAGAUUCUUCGCUUUCAUAAUAAGAACUAUCGUCUUCUUAAACAACAGCUACAUCCGAUUCUCCACUGAAAUCAUCAUAUGCAUUGUUGUUGUUGUUUAUUCCGGUCUUCCGGUUUAUGUAGUAAACCUCUCCUGUCUAAUUAAUUAAACAUAAAACAAACGUCCAGAUUUCACUUAAAAAGUAACUGUAAUUUUAAAUCUUGAAAACUACUUUGAUGCUAAGGCUAAUAGCUUUUUUUUUGUGCAACCGCUAAGGCUAAUAGCUUAAUCCCCAGAAGUAAUAUUUUUUUAAACUAGUGCCAGAAAGAAUAAAGAGGAAACAUAAUGAUUCUGCUUUCUUUCUUUCUUUGCAAUGCAGAAAAAAUGCACCCCAAGUCCUGAAAGAAAACAAAUAUGGACGAGAUGUUUUAUAUGUAAAUCUCUAUAUGCAUAUGUUUUCUUUUUGAUUGAUAUACAAGAGAACAUUGCUUUGUUCUAAAACAAACAUCCGGCAGAUUCAAAUAGAAGAAAAAAAAAGAACGUAAAGUGAGCCAUGAAACUUUCCAAGUGAAGUUCUUCUACAAAGAAAAUUUCAGUUAGGGUUUAUGUUUUGGUAAUGAAAUCAAGAUUGGAAGCAAACCCUGUGAGCAUUUAUAGACAAGACAAUAGAGACAAAGCUUGAAGCAAUAAAUGCAACACAAGUAAACAGAAAAAAUCAAUUAUAAAGGAAACCAAAGAAGUUACAUUUGUCAUACCACAAAACUGACAAAUGAUUGUCCUCAAACUCAAAG